rnacentral:lncRNA from 1 species
AUCUCUGAUCAUUUCUUCAUUACAUUUAAACUACAUUUUGCUACCUGUGUGCCACCAACCCCCAUACCGGUUACUUUUAGACGAAACCUACGCUCCCUUUCCCCCUCCCAUCUUUCCUCCGUUGUAUCCUCCUCUCUUCCCUCACCUACCCAUUUCUCAUCUCUGGAUGUGAAUGCAGCAACUGACACUUUAUGCUCUACUUUAACCUCUUGUCUAGAUGAUAUUUGUCCUCUCCUCCAGGCCAGCACGGGCUGCCCCCUCGAACUCCUGGUUAUCCGAUGUUCUUCGUGAACAUCGGACCAAACUCAGGGCAGCUGAGAGAAAAUGGUGCAAAUCAAAAGAUCCGUCAGACCUAAGUAUGUAUCAAUCUUUGCUUUCAUCUUUCUCUGCUGAAGUCCAUACUGCCAAAUCUUCAUACUUCCACAACAAGAUCAACAGCGCUCCAGACACACGUAAUCUCUUCAAAACGUUCCAUUCUCUCCUCUGUCCCCCUCCACCACCUCCUACCACUUCUAUAACAGCUGAUGAUUUUGCCACAUUCUUCACAGACAAAACCAGAACAAUUAGUAGCCAAUUCUCAGCCCCACACACACAGGACUUCAAACCAACCCCACCCACUCCAAAAACUCCCAUCUUCUCCUUCUGUCCCCUCACUGAGACAGAAGUAUCAAAACUUCUGCUCUCCAGCCAUCCUACAACAUGCCCUCUAGACCCAAUCCCCUCACACCUCCUCCAAGCAAUCUCUCCUUCACUUUUACCAACACUCACACACAUCAUCAAUACAUCUCUCCUCACAGGCACCUUCCCCACUGCAUUCAAGCAGGCUCGGAUAACCCCACUGCUCAAAAAACCUACAUUAAACACUUCACUUACAGAUAGCUACAGACCUGUCUCUCUCCUUCCAUUCAUAGCGAAAACCCUCGAAAGAGUUGUUUUCAACCAGAUAUCAUUGUUUCUUUCACAGAACAACAAACUGGAUCCUAACCAGUCAGGUUUCAGGAGUGUCCAUUCAACUGAGACUGCGCUACUGUCAGUCACAGAAGCCUUGCGGAUUGCAAAAGUUGAUUCCAAAUCAUCAGUCCUUAUUCUGCUGGAUCUUUCUGCUGCUUUUGACACUGUCAAUCAUCAGAUCCUCCUGUCUGCCC